rnacentral:tRNA from 2 species
GCCCUUGUAGCUCAAAUGGAUAGAGCAACUCCGUCCUAAGGAGUAGGUUAGAGGUUCGAGUCCUCUCAAGGGCACCA